GUCAUUUUCAGGCCAGAAAAACAUACGAUACGUAUCGAAUUUCUCGCGAUAACUUAUCGAUUUCAUCGUAACAACUUUGACUUUUGGGAAAACUUGUCACCACCGACUUCUUCUACGUCAGUUUUUCAUUUAAUGAAGGGGGAAGGCUGUUCAUCUCAACCCAAGCUGCCUUCCCUCGCAAGAAUCAUCCACAGUUCACAUCUCAAUCGGUUCGACAAAUUUGAAAUUGCUUUCGGCUUCGUCGUUUCUGCUUGGGGUCGUAAUUUGAAAUGGAAGCCUCUCAGUCAGAGGAUAACCCUAGCUCUAAUCCAAUCCCUAACCGGAACACCAACAACAAUCGUCGUCGCCGUUGUGGCUCUUUUGUUUGUUCUGCCUUCACGGUAUGGUGAGAUUCUUCCCGUCUUUUGCUCAGAUCGUGAUAGUGAUGGUGAAGGUGGGUGAACUUCCUGCCGUUCGCGUCUCUCUUCACACGACUCUCUCCUAUUCUUCUUGGUUGUGCAUCCUUCGGUCUGCAAGUCGGAGAUCAAGAGCUGCGAUGAUGAAAGCACCUUACUGAUAUGCUGCUGCAGCAGGUUUGUACACCUGUGGAAGUGGGCUUCCGGGAAGAGACUUCCUAUGACUUUCGAAUGCCUUCAGUCUUGCUGAGGAUCACCAGCUUUUUAUGCUUAGACCAGAACCAGCUAGACAGACUGCAUGGAAUUGUCACCUUAAUUGAUUUAUCAGAUGGAAUAGAAGAUGGAAGUUAUUGUGGAUGCGUUGUCACAUAAGCUAGUAAGAUUUUCCAUUUCCUUUAUUUCUUUGGUUUCUUUUGUGCUUUAUAUUUCUUCUGUAAAAGAAGAGGUUUUCUGGGUAUUCUGUGGCUGUUUGCACCUGCUCAUUGUUGUGUUUCUGGGCUUUUGUGGGUAUUCUGAGGCUGCAUCUGUUUACUGGGAGUGUGAGCUGGGGAACUAUGUGAAUAUUCAGGGGAAGUGUGUCUCUCUCUCUCUGUUGGGGGGGGGGGGGGGGUAUUAAAUCCUGUGAGAGAGUUUUGGGGAGGGGGUGAGUUUUAUGGGUAUUGUGUAUAUUUUCAGGUGUGUGGGUUAAUCUUUGGGAGAGAGUUGGGGCUGAGUUUUAUGGGUCAAUGGUAAGCGUAUUCAGGUGAGGGUGUGUAUGGUCUUAACUUGGGUAAGAGAAUUGAGGGAGUGUGUUUCUGGGCUUUUUGUGUAUUUUCAGGGAUGUGUGUG